ACCGCCCAUGGCCGCGUGUGUGAAGAAGGCCUUAUGGUUGUAAAGCACUUUAAGCGAGGAGGAGGCUACUUUAGUUAAUACCUAGAGAUAGUGGACGUUACUCGCAGAAUAAGCACCGGCUAACUCUGUGCCAGCAGCCGCGGUAAUACAGAGGGUGCAAGCGUUAAUCGGAUUUACUGGGCGUAAAGCGCGCGUAGGCGGCUAAUUAAGUCAAAUGUGAAAUCCCCGAGCUUAACUUGGGAAUUGCAUUCGAUACUGGUUAGCUAGAGUGUGGGAGAGGAUGGUAGAAUUCCAGGUGUAGCGGUGAAAUGCGUAGAGAUCUGGAGGAAUACCGAUGGCGAAGGCAGCCAUCUGGCCUAACACUGACGCUGAGGUGCGAAAGCAUGGGGAGCAAACAGGAUUAGAUACCCCCGGUAGA
rnacentral:rRNA from 1 species